AAUGUUGUAGACAGUUUUACCAAAAUGUGUACUGACAUUUGUUUCUAUGCGUGUGUUUCAGGCUGUCUAAGGUUCUGUUUCCUCCGAUUCCUCGCCCCCCACAAAAGUACAAACAUUUCCUGGAAAGAAAUUACACAUUCAAUUUGUUCCUCCCUACCCCGUCAGCUGACCCUGCGGAGGAGAUCACAGAGGUGGAGGACACGGAGCAAAAGACAUUGUAAAAGCUCAAUCUGAAAGACACAUU